UAGGACCAGAACAAGUGAUCAGUCAGUGCUCUGUGGUCAGAGCAGUGAACACAGGGGCCAAGGCUAGGAGGCACUUCCUGGACCUUCAGCACUGACGCCUGGUGCCGUGGCCUCAACCCAGCAAAAUGCUCAAGACUUCCUCCUGGCUCUGCACUCAGGAACCAUUCCUGCAACAGACCCAGAGAAGCUCCUGCAGAAACAAAAGGCCAGGAAAGCAACUUCAAAGAAGACCAUCACCACUCCCAACUCCCGUGGUAGCCUCCUUAGCAACGGACUAUUUCCUGAAGUCCCACAUGGGGGCAGGUUGAAGAAACAUAUAAAGGCCACCUGGAUCAAAGAAAAGGUGUGAAUGUGCUGCCAGAGUCCAUGAGCUGCUUGCGCCCACGUGGCUAUGCACGUGUCACCCGCAACUCCCCUCUUGAGAUGUGUAUUUUCAUGCUUUCCUGUCUAAUGCCGGGAUGUGUGCAGGGCUCUCUCCGCCCUUGGCGAAGCCCACGUUCUCUCCUGAGCAUAUUACUUUCCACUCUCUCUCCCUCCUUCCCUUCAAG